rnacentral:lncRNA from 1 species
GAAAAAGCCCCUUUCUUCCCCCAAAAUCACCAUGUCCAUAAACAAGAACACCCUGAGUGUUAUAUCAGUAUCAAGUUUGACUUUAUUUUUAUUAGAACCAUGGCAAUUGGCAAAGAAAUUAUUUUUUGUAUAGUGCUGUCAUAUACAUAUUGCAAAGCAGGAUUGUAAAACAACAUAUAUUUAUAUAUAAGUCAAGGAUUCUGUUAAGCCUUCAGGAAGCUUAGGUAUCAAGUAGUAGUUUGAAAAGCAAAAAAUAAAAAAGGUAUGAAUGGUAGGAGGCUUUCUUUAAGAUAAGGAGCCCUGAAUCAUUGCUGAUUCUGUUGUCUCUGCAGUUGCUAAUGUUCACGCUUCAAGGAUUGUCAGCUACACCGCUGUAGAAUCACCAAACAAUGCCUCCAAAUCCCUCAAGAAGUCAGCCAUACAGCCUUCUAACUUUAGGAGCAUCUCAUGUUGACUUUGUCAAAUAUCUCAGGAUCCAUCACGAACCACAGAUGAACUAGGGCCCCGAGCUUCAACAUCAGAGAGGGAGAUGUUUCCCUGCAUUUGGUUCUCAAACACACACCUCUACAGACGUGGCUGAAUCCCCUCUUCCAUCCCUCUAGGGAAGAGAUGGCCUGAUACGGAGUCUGGCUAGAGUACUGAAAAUUUAUCAUAAUGUUUAUACUUCAUCGUCUUCUAUUCUUGUGCCUUCUAGCCUUAAAAUGUAACCAUGAUAUAUACAGAAGUUAUCCCUCAAUUUCUUGUAUCUUAUUUGGAGGGAAAUUUUGGAUGUUUGAGGGUAAGAGGCACAUGAGGGACUGGAUUUGAAUCUCUGCAUGUCAGAUAUUAAAGUUCAUGGAAUUAGGCACACAUUGCUAUAGUCAGUGUAACCCUCAAAUCUGAUCUUACUAAACCUACACAAUAUUUAAAAGAUGCUCCAGAUUUCUGAAACACUAUAAAAAUAAUGCUCUGAAUUUUAGACAUUUGAUAAUUUGUAAGUGAAGGUAUUCGAGUUUGAUUAUGAUAUGUCCAUGCAUUGAAGUUUAUUUAUGAGGAGAGUUAUUCAAUAGACAUUUCUUGGGGCCAAAUAUAUGUAUAUGAAACCAAAAAAUUUAAAACAAUUAAGCUAGAAAUAAUAGUGCCUCACAUUUAUUGUCUACUUUUCCUGUGCCAGGAACUGUGAUAAGGGCAUUUAAGGGAUUUUUCAUUAAGAAAAUCUAGGAUCACACGUCUUAUAAAUUUUAGAGUCAGCCUAUUAGAACAACUGGACCGAAUCUAAGGGUUUAACCCCCACAAUACAACUGUCACACUAUACAAAAUAUAGUGUAAAUGGGCACCGAUGGAACAGCUGCAGAAUGAUCUGAGGAGAAAAGACUUCUUGAAAGGCACAUUUGGAACUAAAUUUUGACAUAUGAUCCUAUGGCUCCAUGCUAUAGAUUAUAUUAACAACCUAAAAGUACAUAGAUUUACAAAUUUGAAAAUCAGUUAAAAUUUUGGAAGGAAUAGAUACCACAUGUACUGACUUAAAUUUACAGCACAAGUAAUUUACCUCCAGUUCCUAUUCCUUCAUCUCUCCAGUCCACCAAAACACCACUGAGAAAAUAUUCAUGAAUUGUCAUUUCAACUCAAAAACCUUCCCAUCAUCACUUUCCCAAGCUUUGGUUUACGAAUCCAUAUAAGUUGCCUCUUCUUCAGUCUGUUAACAGAAAACCUUCAUGAUCUUAGUCUUUAUGAUGUCUGGUUUAUCAGAGUCUCUUACAGACAUUGGUUGAAUAAAUUCUAAUGGUUGUUUCAUUUUUGUCUUCAAUUGUCUUGUUUUCACAGCCAUGUCAUUUUCAUUAAUCAAACUUUCUCAUUCCAAGCUCCCUGCAUCCCUUCCCUUGCAAACACGAAAAAUAUAUAAAAUUGAGCUUUUAAUGAGAUUGGUAGGAAGCAUUAUUAACAACUAUUCCUCCCAAGACUUGCGGUGGAUACAAUUCUAAGACAGGAGAUGGGACCGUUUUGAAAGAUAAAGAGUUCAGUUUAGACAGAAGGGCUUUCUGAUUUAUAUUUGUGUUAAGUGGUGUGUAUUGAAUAGUAGUUCUAUCAAUGGCUGCCAGAGAGAAUCUGGCACCUUUUAUUUUAUUUUAAAUUAAAAGGAGUGUCUGUAGAAGUAAGUGGUCAGGAAUCAGCCAACUGCUUCUUUAGACUGGACAAA